AACGCGUGGGAAUCUACCUAGUAGUGGAGGAUAACUCGGGGAAACUCGAGCUAAUACUGCAUACGCCCUACGGGGGAAAGCGGGGGAUCUUCGGACCUCGCGCUAUUGGAUGAGCCCGCGUUAGAUUAGCUUGUUGGUGAGGUAAUGGCUCACCAAGGCGACGAUCUAUAGCUGGUCUGAGAGGAUGAUCAGCCACAUUGGGACUGAGACACGGCCCAAACUCCUACGGGAGGCAGCAGUGGGGAAUAUUGCGCAAUGGGCGAGAGCCUGACGCAGCCAUGCCGCGUGUGUGAAGAAGGCCUUCGGGUUGUAAAGCACUUUCAAUAGGGAGGAAAGGUUGUAACUUAAUACGUUGCAACUGUGACGUUACCUAUAGAAGAAGCACCGGCUAACUCCGUGCCAGCAGCCGCGGUAAUACGGAGGGUGCGAGCGUUAAUCGGAAUUACUGGGCGUAAAGCGCGCGUAGGCGGCUUCGUCAGUCAGAUGUGAAAGCCCCGGGCUCAACCUGGGAACUGCAUUUGAUUCUGCGGAGCUAGAGUAUGGUAGAGGA
rnacentral:rRNA from 1 species